rnacentral:rRNA from 1 species
UACGAACGGUGCAAGCGUUACUCGGAAUCACUGGGCGUAAAGCGCACGUAGGCGGACUUACAGGUCAAUUGUGAAAUACCUGAGCUCAACUCAGGAACUGCAGUUGAAACCGUUUGUCUUGAAUACCUGAGAGGGUGGGGGAAUACCUGGUGGAGAAGUGAAAUUCGUAGAUAUCUGCAGGAACACCCGUGGCGAAAGCGGCGCGCUGGACCACUACUGACGCUGAGGAACGAAAGCUAGGGGAGCAAACAGG